AUUGAACGCUGGCGGCAGGCCUAACACAUGCAAGUCGAACGAGUGGCGGACGGGUGAGUAAUGUCUGGGAAACUGCCUGAUGGAGGGGGAUAACUACUGGAAACGGUAGCUAAUACCGCAUACCAUCGGAUGUGCCCAGAUGGGAUUAGCUAGUAGGUGGGGUAAAGGCUCACCUAGGCGACGAUCCCUAGCUGGUCUGAGAGGAUGACCAGCCAACCUGGAAUCGGGACACGGGCCAGACCACUACCGGAGGGAGCAGGUGGGAAUAUUUGAAAAUGGGCGGAAGCCUUAUGGAGCCAUGGCGGGUGUAUGGAGAAGGACUUUGGGGUGUAAAGUACUUUCAGCGGGGAGGCGUUACCCGCAGAAGAAGCACCGGCUAACUCCGUGCCAGCAGCCGCGGUAAUU
rnacentral:rRNA from 1 species